CAGCAGCCGCGGUAAUACGUAGGUGGCAAGCGUUGUUCGGAAUUAUUGGGCGUAAAGGGCUCGCAGGCGGUUUCUUAAGUCUGAUGUGAAAGCCCCCGGCUCAACCGGGGAGGGGCAUUGGAAACUGGGAAACUUGAGUGCAGAAGAGGAGAGUGGAAUUCCACGUGUAGCGGUGAAAUGCGUAGAGAUCUGGAGGAAUACCGGUGGCGAAGGCGGCCCCCUGGACAAAGACUGACGCUCAGGUGCGAAAGCGUGGGGAGCAAACAGGAUUAGAGACCCCCGUAGUCCCUGUCUCUUAUAC
rnacentral:rRNA from 1 species